GGGGAUAACAGUUAGAAAUGACUGCUAAUACCGCAUAAGCGCACUAAAACCGCAUGGUUCGGUGUGAAAAACUGAGGUGGUAUAGGAUGGACCCGCGUCUGAUUAGCUUGUUGGUGGGGUAACGGCUCACCAAGGCGACGAUCAGUAGCCGGCCUGAGAGGGCGACCGGCCACAUUGGGACUGAGACACGGCCCAAACUCCUACGGGAGGCAGCAGUGGGGAAUAUUGCACAAUGGGGGAAACCCUGAUGCAGCGACGCCGCGUGAGUGAAGAAGUAUUUCGGUAUGUAAAGCUCUAUCAGCAGGGAAGAAAAUGACGGUACCUGACUAAGAAGCCCCGGCUAACUACGUGCCAGCAGCCGCGGUAAUACGUAGGGGGCAAGCGUUAUCCGGAUUUACUGGGUGUAAAGGGAGCGUAGGUGGCAUGGUAAGCCAGAAGUGAAAACCCGGGGCUCAACCCCGCGGAUUGCUUUUGGAACUAUCAGGCUGGAGUGCUGGAGGGGUAAGCGGAAUUCCUAGUGUAGCGGUGAAAUGCGUAGAUAUUAGGAGGAACACCGGUGGCGAAGGCGGCUUACUGGACAGAAACUGACACUGAGGCUCGAAAGCGUGGGGAGCAAACAGGAUUAGAUACCCUGGUAGUCCACGCCGUAAACGAUGAA
rnacentral:rRNA from 1 species